CCCUGAAAGAUGAUCAGGUAGAUAGGAUGGAAGUGGAAGUGCUGCGAGGCAUGGAGCGGACCAUUACUAAUCGAUCGAGGACUUAACCAAG
rnacentral:rRNA from 1 species